AUUGAACGCUGGCGGCAGGCCUAACACAUGCAAGUCGAGCGGAUGAAGGGAGCUUGCUCCUGGAUUCAGCGGCGGACGGGUGAGUAAUGCCUAGGAAUCUGCCAGGUAGCGGGGGAUAACGUCCUGAAACGGGCGCUAAUACCGCAUACGUCCUGUGGUAGAAAGUGGGGGAUCUUCGGACCUCAUGCUAUCAGAUUAGCCUAGGUCGGAUUAGCUAGUUGGUGGGGUAAAUGCCUACCAAGGCGACGAUGCAUAACUGGUCUGAGAGGAUGACCAGUCACACUGGAAGUGAGGCACGGUCCAGACUCCUACGGGAGGACGCAGUGGAGAAUAUUGGGGGAUGGGGGAAAGGCUGAUACAGCAAUGCCGCGUGUGUGCAGAAGGUGUUCGGAUUGUAGAGCACUUUAAGUUGGGAGGAAGGGAAGUACGUUAAUACCUUGCUGUUUUGACGUUACCGACAGAAUAAGCACCGGCUAACUUCGUG
rnacentral:rRNA from 1 species